rnacentral:rRNA from 1 species
GGUCCUACGGGACGCAGCAGUGGGGAAUAUUGCACAAUGGGGGAAACCCUGAUGCAGCAACGCCGCGUGAGUGAAGAAGUAUUUCGGUAUGUAAAGCUCUAUCAGCAGGGAAGAAAAUGACGGUACCUGAGUAAGCAUCCCCGGCUAACUACGAGCCAGCAGCCGCGGUAAUACGUAGGGGGCAAGCGUUAUCCGGAUUUACUGGGUGUAAAGGGAGCGUAGUCGGCGAUGCAAGU